rnacentral:rRNA from 1 species
GAUGAACGCUGGCGGCGUGCCUAAUACAUGCAAGUCGAGCGAACAGACGAGGAGCUUGCUCCUCUGACGUUAGCGGCGGACGGGUGAGUAACACGUGGAUAACCUACCUAUAAGACUGGGAUAACUUCGGGAAACCGGAGCUAAUACCGGAUAAUAUAUUGAACCGCAUGGUUCAAUAGUGAAAGACGGUUUUGCUGUCACUUAUAGAUGGAUCCGCGCCGCAUUAGCUAGUUGGUAAGGUAACGGCUUACCAAGGCAACGAUGCGUAGCCGACCUGAGAGGGUGAUCGGCCACACUGGAACAGAGACACGGUCCAGACUCCUACGGGGGGCAGCAGUAGGGAAUCUUCCGCGAUGGGCGAAAGCCUGACGGAGCAACGCCGCGUGAGUGAUGAAGGUCUUCGGAUCGUAAAACUCUGUUAUUAGGGAAGAACAAAUGUGUAAGUAACUAUGCACGUCUUGACGGUACCUAAUCAGAAAGCCACGGCUAACUACGUG